rnacentral:tRNA from 1 species
GCCGAGAUGGUGGAAUGGUAGACACCGGAGACUUAAAAUCUCCUGGCUGGAUAAGCCGUGUGGGUUCGAGUCCCGCUCUCGGCA